AGUUGACAUGGAAUCAACUACACGUGCACACUUUUUAUCGGCUAGUAUUUUUUAGCACACUUUCUAUGAGCUUUCCUUUAUCAUCAGAAGAUCUAUGAACUUUUCUUAUCUUUGUAUCAAAAGAAAUGUAGGGAGGAUCUUGCUUUUUUGCUCCGGUUGUGUGAUUUGAAAUUUGUGUUCGAUCCAAAGUUUUCUUCAGGCUGGACAGGGAGUUUUAGAUCCGUGUGCAGGAGACAUUGUAGCAAAGUACUUGAAUCGAUAGGAUGUUCAAAAAUCUCUCCAUAUGAAGCUUGUAUUUUCGACACGGAGAAACUGCAGAGUUAGGAAGUAAACUAUUCGAGGGAACUAGGAAAUUCCACUUAAUUAUGUUUAUUAUUUUUUCUCUACACUCUCUUAUGGAUCUUGUUUGAUUUCAAGAUAACUAUUAAAACAGGGAAGAAAACUCAACUUUCUUCCCCAACUUUCUAGAAUAACAAAAUGCUCUUUUAUUCUCCCUUUUGGUGGUUAUUUGAUUUCAAGGAUUUUAGUGGUGGAAGUGGAACUUAGACUUUAAUGGUUUUUCAUUAAGAAGAUUAAAGUUUCACUUGAAACAUUUUAAUUUUUGUAAUAAUCUGGAACUUUGGUUCUUUCCAAAAUUUUUGAUACUUUCUAUUCACUUUUUUGUUCAUAAUAUUAAUUAUAAAGUUACAUAUGUAACAUAUUAUGUAUUUCUUUUCACCUCAUUUUUUCGUAUUUUGUGUUUGUCUGUAAUGAAUAAUUGUAAAUCCAAGCGCGCUCUACCACUGAGCUAAUAGCCCGUCGUGCGGGCCUCCCGCUGGGGUUUCACUUGAAACAUUUUAAUUUUUGUAACAUAUUUAUCUUUUUUAAAUGGUUUGUGCUUAAUAGGGACUGAUGCAUUUCAAAUAAAAGGGAAAGUGAAUCUUGCUACAUCUUUUGUAUCAUUGAAACUGAGCGAAUUUCAGUUAGUAGGUUCCCGAAGACUCACUUAGAGAAGUUUUGCUAUUAUCAAGAAUUGGGUUCAAAUCUUUGUAUUUAAGAGAAGAUUUAAGUUUUGGAUUGCCUUUUGAAUUCUCCAAGUUAUUGCAUUGGGUUUCGAGUGAACUCAAGUUUAUUGUAGCUUGGGGUGAAUUCAAGCUUAUUGAACUUAUUCGUCAUUGUCCCAUCACAUAAUGUCCUAUGUAAGAUUCUGAAUUCGUAAACUGGUUAGUUUAAACCAGUCCUCACUUUUUGUGACAUUGGAAGUUAAGUGCUUGUCUAAUGGAAUGGUUAGUUUAUACUUAUGGGAGGUAAAGCUUGAUUAGUAAUUUAUUCUGUGACAUUAAACUCUAGAAUUCCUUAUUUGUGGAAAACUAUAUUUGUCAUCCCCCAUUCCAUUAAUUGGCAUAUUCUUUGCUGUAGUAUAAGAUGAUAUGCUCAUUGUUGAGGUUUUGAGCGGUAGACUGCUUAAGAAAUGGCAUGGUCAUUAUAACGUAUGAAAUUUUAUCCUUUCCUCGUGUGUGUGUGUUUAGGCUUCGUAGAAAUUCUUCUUACUAACAUGUUUAUUCCAGGGUAUUUGAUGAUGGAUGGCAAAGGGAAGGAAAACAUUUUUAUGAUCAUAGUUUCACUGGGCAUAAUCUACCUGUUACUGAUAUUGUUGUUGGCUAUGGAGGAUCCAAUGCUAUCAUAAUCUCUUCCUCUGUGGAUCCUACUUGUAAGCAUGUGUUAUCACAAAGGUUGUUUUGCUGCCUCUUUCACCUUUCAAUCUUCGAAGUAAACACUACCAAGAGGUCUGCAGGUAGAGGAAACCUCCACCAAAAGAAACUUUGUUUGGGAGUUGUCCCAUCAUUUAUGAUUUUAGGUUUCUUUUAGAAAUGAUGUGACAUCGGAGCUAGGAUGGAUACAUGAAUGAACGGAGGUCACAUCUGAAUGAGAGAGAUUUAUUAAGAGUGUUAUUGAGGAAGAUGAUCAUAAUAAUGAGACAAGCUUAUAGGAUAGGAGUAUUUAGCUUCUAGUUUGUGGUGUCGAAAAGAAGCCCUAUUUUUAUCUCUGCAACAUAUCGUAGAAAUCAAAACAAAGCAAGUAAGUUGUCUAGAAAUAUGUUUUUCUCAUACCUUCUCUACUAGAAUAAAAAAACUAAAAGAUUAAUUUCAUUGUAAUUAUCUCUUAUCUAUUAGUAUCCCCUAUUGUCCCAAGAAGUCUACAAUAUAAUGUUUACCUUACUCAGCCUGGAUGGUUGCUGUGCAAUCAAUAUGCACCCACUGCUGGUAGAUUGUCUCAGAAGGUUCUUUGACUGAUAUUGUCUUGAAUUACUGGUUUUCUA